GCUGGAGCUCGGACGCGA
rnacentral:snRNA from 1 species